UACGGAGGAUGCAAGCGUUAUCCGGAAUCAUUGGGUUUAAAGGGUCCGUAGGCGGACCGGUAAGUCAGUGGUGAAAGUCUGCAGCUCAACUGUAGAAUUGCCAUUGAUACUGCUGGUCUUGAAUAACUAUGAAGUAAUUAGAAUGUGUAGUGUAGCGGUGAAAUGCAUAGAUAUUACACAGAAUACCGAUUGCGAAGGCA
rnacentral:rRNA from 1 species